CAAAGGACUGUCUGAAACCAUGAGCAACCCGUAUGCACACCUUGUAGAGCUCCUGGGCCCCCAGAAGCCAGAAAAGAAGUUCUACAAUCUGUGCAAUUUGAGAGAUCCCAGAUAUGAGGGAUGCCUGCCGUGGUGGACUUUGCUGUCAUGCGAGACGCUGUUAAAAAGUUAGGAGGAGACCCAGAGAAGAUCAGUCCUGUGUGUCCGGCUGACUUAGUGAUUGACCACUCCAUCCAUGUGGAUUUCAAUAGGAAGGGGAAAAUAUUCGACUCAUUCUAUGUGAAAACAUCUCCAAAGUGAGGGGGUAGGAGGUGGAUUUCUGCUGUGAUACGUGUUCAGAAACUGGUCUGUAUUCUAAUGAGCAUCUUAUUUGAAACCUCUGCUUCAAUAUAAAAAAAAUGAAUAUUUCAACAUCUUUUGCAGGACUGAAAGUUUACAGAAGAAUGAGGAGUUGGAGUUUGAAAGAAACAAAGAGAGAUUUGAGUUUUUAAAGGUUGCUUUUUGCUUAUUAAAAUACACAGUUUAUGUCUGGGCAGUAGUCCAUAAAGCUGCCAUUGCCUUCAGUAGUGUGAGUCUGAUAAUUUUGUGAUUCUGCUGGGUGUCUAGUGGGGAUCAAAGGCUUUCCGCAAUAUGAGGAUUAUUCCCCCAGGAUCGGGAAUCGUUCACCAGGUCAAUCUGGAGUACCUGGCGAAGGUGAUGUUUGAACAGGAUGGCUUCUUUUACUCAGACAGCCUUGUGGGUACUGACUCCCACACAACCAUGAUCGGUGGACUUGGAGUUCUAGGCUGGGGUAAACACAUAUUCUCGGACAUUUACAUUACACUGUGUUUGUUGAUCUGAACUCAUUGCUAAAACCUACCAAAAUCAUUUAAUGUCUCAUAAAACCCAGCAUAUGUAAUAUGGAUAUAUCAAAUAAUACCCUAAAUAAUAUGUGCACUUGCAUUCAUGAUACAGUUCAUGUUAUAUCAGAAUUUGUUUUUCAACUGUUACCAUACCAGGUAUUUUUCCUUUUUUCAGUAUUUAUUUUAGAUUAUUAUCUCAAAAGUCAUCAUGUUACACCAACUGUGCCUGAGAGAAAAAAAAAAAAACAAGAACACCAAAUAAAAAUUCAAAAUAA